GAAAUGCGAUAAGUAAUGUGAAUUGCAGAAUUCAGUGAAUCAUCGAAUCUUUGAACGCACCUUGCGCUCCUUGGUAUUCCUUGGAGCAUGCCUGUUUGAGUAUCAUGAAAUCUUCAAAGUAAAUCUUUUGUUAACUCAAUUGGUUUCUACUUUGGUAUUGGAGGUCUUUGCAGCUUCACACCUGCUCCUCUUUGUUCAUUAGCUGGAUCUCAGUGUUAUGCUUGUUUCCACUCGGCGUGAUAAGUUAUCUAUCGCUGAGGACACUGUAAAAGGUGGCCAAGGUAAAUGCAGAUGAACCGCUUCUAAUAAUCCAUUGACUUGGACAAUACUUUUAUGAUCUGAUCUCAAAUCAGGUAGGACUACCCGCUGAACUUAAGC
rnacentral:misc_RNA from 1 species